GGUCAAGCGAAUAAGUGCAUGUGGUGGAUGCCUUGGCGAUCACAGGCGAUGAAGGGCGUAGUAGCUUGCGAUAAGCUGCGGGGAGCUGGCAAACGAGCUUUGAUCCGCAGAUACCCGAAUGGGGAAACCCACUCCGCAAGGAGUAUCCCGUGCUGAAUACAUAGGCGCGUGGAGGCGAACGCAGCGAACUGAAACAUCUAAGUAGCUGCAGGAACAGAAAUCAACCGAGAUUCCGAAAGUAGUGGCGAGCGAAAUCGGAUCAGCCUGUACGUGAUAGUCGACUUGCUAGCGGAACGGUCUGGAAAGGCCGGCCAUAGAGGGUGAUAGCCCCUUACGCGAAAGCAGGAC
rnacentral:rRNA from 1 species